AUAGUACUCCCUCGAAAUACUUGUCAUCAAAAUGAAUAAAACGGGGAUGUAUCUAGAUGUAUUUUAGUUCUAAAUACAUCUUUUUUGUCCAUUUUAAUGACAAGUAUUUUCGGGACGGGGAGAGUAGUAG
rfam:Triticum aestivum genome assembly, contig: Triticum_aestivum_CS42_TGACv1_scaffold_328405_4BS